rnacentral:rRNA from 1 species
GUGCCAGCCGCCGCGGUAAUACCGGCAGCCCGAGUGAUGACCGAUCUUAUUGGGCCUAAAGCGUCCGUAGCCGGCCUCGCAAGUCCGUCGGGAAAUCCAGUAGCUCAACUACUGGGCGUCCGGCGGAAACUACAAGGCUUGGGACCGGAAGGCUCGAGGGGUACGUCCGGGGUAGGAGUGAAAUCCCGUAAUCCCGCACGGACCACCGAUGGCGAAAGCACUUCGAGAAAACGGAUCCGACAGUGAGGGACGAAAGCUAAGAUCGCGAACCGGAUUAGAUACCCCUGUAGUCC